CACCUUCUUUCAAAGCUUGGCAUUGAGGUAACUGUUGCUGAUGCAAGAUUCUGCAAGCCACUCGACAUAAAGCUUCUCAGACAACUAUGUGAAGACCAUACAUUUCUUGUCACAGUUGAGGAAGGCUCUGUUGGAGGAUUUGGAUCCCAUGUUGCACAGUUCAUGGCACUUGAUGGACAGCUUGACGGUAGAGUUAAGUGGCGACCUAUUGUUUUACCAGACAGCUAUGUCGAACAUGCAUUGCCAAAGGAACAGCUUACUCUGGCAGGGCUGACUGGACACCACAUUGCUGCAACUGUACUAAGAUUACUUGGCCGCACCCGUGAAGCUCUCCUUUUAAUGUCUUAGAAAUCUAUAUUUUCCCUGCUAUAAGGCUUACUGAUUGAAGCUGCCUCAGAGAACAAAGCCAAAAGAUAGAUGGAAGCUUAAGAUGUUGCUGAGCCUACAGUUCUACACUGAUUUUUGUACCCUCUAUAUAAUUCCUAGUAAUUAGUUUAUAUGUGAGGCACUGACAACAUUGGUGAUAUGCAUUUUCUCCCGUUCAUUAAUUCUUCCUUUCACUAAUAUUGUUAAUGAUAGUGAAA
rnacentral:misc_RNA from 1 species